rnacentral:lncRNA from 13 species
ACGAAGCUAGUCAAUCGCAGACCUUAGACGAUUGCGCGUCAUGCAGUUAUAAAUAUUAUCGAGUGACUCACGGAGUGUCUAAACGUAAUACUUUGCAAGUUGGCUAUUUUUUUAGUCUCUCGCUACCCUCUCUCUGUACUUCAUCUUCCUACUGUACAAACGCCAUUAAAAGAUAUGCAGAACUGCGUGCAUCUCCAGAGUGAGGAAACAGCAUCUAUAACUGAGAAAAUAAGUGGGACGUAGAGGUAGCACGCUAACCCACAAGUGGAACCCACGAACUUGCAGUAUCUUUGCGUAGCAUUUCCGUACAUCCCCCAUCCUCUUAAGAGAUUAGGGGUUCAGGACUACGCACUUCCCGGAACGUCUUCGAAGCAGCCUCUGUAAUUGAGAAAGAAACAAUAAGGUAAAUUACUAUUUUUUAUUACUCAAAUUUAAUGCUACGAAUGUGCUACAGUACAUUAAGAAAUUUUGUGUGUGUGUGUGUGUGUGUGUGUG